GCCGAAGUGGCGGAAUUGGUAGACGCGCACGCUUGAGGGGCGUGUGGGGUAACCCGUGCCGGUUCGAGUCCGGCCUUCGGCACCA
rnacentral:tRNA from 1 species